AUUGAACGCUGGCGGCAUGCCUUACACAUGCAAGUCGAACGGCAGCGCGGGAGCAAUCCUGGCGGCGAGUGGCGAACGGGUGAGUAAUAUAUCGGAACGUGCCCAGUAGUGGGGGAUAGCCCGGCGAAAGCCGGAUUAAUACCGCAUGAGACCUGAGGGUGAAAGCGGGGGAUCGCAAGACCUCGCGCUAUUGGAGCGGCCGAUAUCAGAUUAGCUAGUUGGUGGGGUAAAGGCCUACCAAGGCAACGAUCUGUAGUUGGUCUGAGAGGACGACCAGCCACACUGGGACUGAGACACGGCCCAGACUCCUACGGGAGGCAGCAGUGGGGAAUUUUGGACAAUGGGCGCAAGCCUGAUCCAGCAAUGCCGUGUGCAGGAAGAAGGCCU
rnacentral:rRNA from 1 species